GAAGGUUAGAAUGAGAGCUUCGGCAGGAUUUCUUUCCAUCUUAGUGGCGGACGGGUGAGUAACGUGUGGGCAACCUGCCCUGUACUGGGGAAUAAUCAUUGGAAACGAUGACUAAUACCGCAUGUGGUCCUCGGAAGGCAUCUUCUGAGGAAGAAAGGAUUUAUUCGGUACAGGAUGGGCCCGCAUCUGAUUAGCUAGUUGGUGAGAUAACAGCCCACCAAGGCGACGAUCAGUAGCCGACCUGAGAGGGUGAUCGGCCACAUUGGGACUGAGACACGGCCCAAACUCCUACGGGAGGCAGCAGUGGGGAAUAUUGCACAAUGGGCGAAAGCCUGAUGCAGCAACGCCGCGUGAAGGAUGAAGGGUUUCGGCUCGUAAACUUCUAUCAAUAGGGAAGAAACAAAUGACGGUACCUAAAUAAGAAGCCCCGGCUAACUACGUGCCAGCAGCCGCGGUAAUACGUAGGGGGCAAGCGUUAUCCGGAAUUACUGGGUGUAAAGGGAGCGUAGGCGGCAUGGUAAGCCAGAUGUGAAAGCCUUGGGCUUAACCCGAGGAUUGCAUUUGGAACUAUCAAGCUAGAGUACAGGAGAGGAAAGCGGAAUUCCUAGUGUAGCGGUGAAAUGCGUAGAUAUUAGGAAGAACACCAGUGGCGAAGGCGGCUUUCUGGACUGAAACUGACGCUGAGGCUCGAAAGCGUGGGGAGCAAACAGGAUUAGAUACCCUGGUAGUCCACG
rnacentral:rRNA from 1 species